rnacentral:tRNA from 1 species
CCCUGCGUGGCGAAGUAUGGUAGACGCGCCAGUUUCAGAUACUGGUGUCCGAAAGGGCGGGUAGGUUCGACUCCUAUCGCAGGGACCA